CAGCUCCCCUUUGCUCUCUUGCUUGUGUUCCCUUGCUCUUCUACCUUCUGGCUCCGCACAGCUCAGCAAGAAGCCCUCACUAGAUGCCACCGCCUUCAUCUUGGACUUCCCAGCCUGUAAAGCUGGCAAAGGAAAAGCAAUGGAAAGAAAACUGGUGAAGGGCUUGUUGUGAGAAAAAGGAAAGAAGAAAAGAAUGGAAGGAGAGUACAUAAUGGAACUGGAGUAUCACAUCAUGCUGCGACUUGGUUACCCGAGGCCUUGAGUUUUGUAGGCACCCAGUUGUAACUGUCUUCAAGUCAGAAUAUUUCUGUGGCCAUAUUGUGUCCAAAAUGAAGUGAGGAGAUAAAUAUAGCCUGUGGAAACAGUGGAAGCUGAGCAUGUACAGGGGGAAAUGCAGUGGGAAGCUGAGAAAACAUGUAAUAACUUUAAUUGGCAGGGAAAGCCAUCAGUGCAUCUUGGGGGAAAAUACUACUGUCCAUUGCAGAAUUUCUGAG
ensembl:lncRNA